GACGAACGCUGGCGGCGUGCUUAACACAUGCAAGUCGAACGGAAAGGCCCUGCUUUUGUGGGGUGCUCGGGUGGCGAACGGGUGAUUAACACGUGCGUAACCUGCCCUUGACUUUGGGUUAACUUCAGGAAACUGAGGCUAAUACCGGAUAGGAGCUCCUGCUGCAUGGUGGGGGUUGGAAAGUUUCGGUGGUUGGGGAUGGACUCGCGGCUUAUCAGCUUGUUGGUGGGGUAGUGGCUUACCAAGGCUUUGACGGGUAGCCGGCCUGAGAGGGUGACCGCCCACAUGGGGACUGAGAUACGGCCCAGACUCCUACGGGAGGCAGCAGUGGGGAAUAUUGCACAAUGGGCGGAAGCCUGAUGCAGCAACGCCGCGUGCGGGAUGACGGCCUGCGGGUAGUAAACCGCUUUCGCCUGUGACGAAGCGUGAGUGACGGUAAUGGGUAAAGAAGCACCGGCUAACUACGUG
rnacentral:rRNA from 1 species